rnacentral:rRNA from 1 species
CCUUGUACACACCGCCCGUCACAUCACGAAAGCCGGUUGUACCGGAAGUCGGUUCGCUAACCGCAAGGAAGCAACUGCCCAUGGUAUGGUCGGUGAUUGGGGUG